rnacentral:misc_RNA from 1 species
UCCAUUCCCAAUUUCAGUAGUUUCUUAACAAUGGGUAACAAAUAUUACCCAAAACAAUGCUUUUACCCCAAUGUUUUGACAAGGGUUCCUAUUGCUACUAUACAAGCUACUAACAGGGAUUGCCCUGAUGCAAAGAGAUUUUUGGGGAAAAGAGCUUGUCACUUCUUACUCUAAUACUAAUAAGAGGAGAAAAAAAAAAGACAAGGAAAUAAAAAGCAACUUGGAAUGUUGCCUGUUUAUCAAAGUCCUUCUGCUCAGAUUCUAAUCUGAGUGUGUUGAAGAUGACAAAUUAUCUUCCUUUUCAGCUAGCUGAGUCUCCUGCUGUUUUUUCAAAUACCUCUGUGCAGUUGCAGUCACAAUCUUGCAAAAGAAGUUCAAAAGCAUGAGCCAAACAAUGGUAUUCCACAAUGCAGCAAAUGAGAAAUCCCAUUUUUUCACCUUGUUAUUUGAAGGCAGAGGUGGCGCAGGUGACAUAUAUUUUUCUUUAAUUGCAUGCAGUUUGCCUAUAAGUUUGGGCAGCACAGAAUCCAAGCCAGGUACAAAGCUGAGCACCCAGAUCAACUCAUUCUCUAUCCAGUCAAGUAGUUGAUUAUUACAGACAGAGAUGAUAAAAACUGUCUGUAUAUGAGUUUUCACAAGUGCCUUCCCAAUCAAAGUUGCAAGAAAAAACUUCCAAAAUGAAAUCCCAAAUUGUCCACACAUAAUGCCAGCAAGGUCAAAUAGGGGAUUUGGCACCGAAGCAAGUACUAAAAUUGUGAAGAAGUUCAAAUGUUGAG